UCCUGUGCCCUGGGGGUGGGGCUUUGCUGUCCGCCCUUAGGCACCAGGUCUGAGAGCCUACCGGAGGGCACCCUCGCUUUCAAGAAGGCCUGGGAGGCAGCUCCACUGGCUCAUCCCUUCUCAAUACCCUUCAAGAGGCCAAGUGUAUGUUGUUAGAGACAUGGCAAUGAGGCUGAACAUCAUCUCCCAAUUGGAGGGACAGACGAUCCAGCCUCAGUGCUGGGGAUGUGUCCUGUUAUCCUGGCAGGCCGAGUUCCUGUAGCCUGAGAGGCACGACAGCCCGAGGAGGUCUCCUGCCAAUCACCCAUGUGCCCUGGCUCUGGAGGCCAGCCUAGGAACUCUGUGAUUUGCAGUGAUGAAGUGUAAAUUGCAGAGAUUCUGAGCUUCCAGGCGGCCCAGCUCCCAUCAGCAUCUCAUUCCCUUACCUGGGGCUCCUCUGGUCUCAUUCGGUGGAUUCUGUUGGCAGAGUGCCUCCUCAGCGACCACGACGGCCUGCUUCCUACAUCUAUCACACCUGCACUGUGACAAUGUAAUUUUUAUCUCUGGUUGUU